rnacentral:rRNA from 1 species
UGGUUGUAAACUGCUUUUAUACGGGAAUAACCCCACUACGUGUAGUGGGCUGAAUGUACUGUAAGAAUAAGGAUCGGCUAACUCCGUGCCAGCAGCCGCGGUAAUACGGAGGAUCCAAGCGUUAUCCGGAUUUAUUGGGUUUAAAGGGUGCGUAGGCGGCCUAUCAAGUCAGAGGUGAAAGACGGUAGCUUAACUAUCGCAGUGCCUUUGAAACUGGUGGGCUUGAAUGUACUUGAGGUGGGCGGAAUGUGACAAGUAGCGGUGAAAUGCAUAGAUAUGUCACAGAACCCCGAUUGCGAAGGCAGCUCACUAAAGUAUGAUUGACGCUGAUGCACGAAAGCGUGGGGAUCAAACAGGAUCAGAUACCCUGGUAGUCCACGCCCUAAACGAUGAAUACUCGAUGUUGGCGAUACACUGUCAGCGUCCACGCGAAAGUAUUAAGUAUUCCACCUGGGGAGUACGUCCGCAAGGAUG